CACAUACACACACACACUCUUUCUUUUUUGGCUAAACCACUGAAACUAAGUGGUAUACAUCCUGACACUUCAUCCUAUACUUCAGCAUGCAUCUCCUAAGAAUAAAGAUGUUCUAUAUAACCACAGCACUAUUUAUUAUCACAAACAUCUAAGAAAUUAACAUUAAUCAAAUAAUACCAUCUAAUCUACAGCCCCUAUUUAAAUUUUUGCAAUUGCCCUAAAAAUAAUUUCUUUUGUUGUUGUUUCUUUUUUUUCCCCAAAAAUCUAGGAUCUUAUCAAGGUAUAUGUAUUGCAUUUGGUUGGAAUACCGCCAUCCUAUUUCAGCACCUCUGAUUCUCAAUAAAUUCUUCCCAACGUUAAGCCAGCAUCACCUCCUUGUACAUUUCACCUCUUGGCAUUCUCCAGUGGUUCUCAACAAAUCCCUAACAUCAUACGUGCAAAGCUGAGUAGUCUGUUUUCUGCGACAAGAUUGAAAAAUCAGAGGUCAAUACUUAGCUCAUUUCAGACUUACAUUCUAAGAAAGUCCUAUAGCAAAGGUCUCAAAUCAGUGGCCUGCGGGUUGCAUCCAGACAACAGAUACGUAUUGUUUGUUCCACUCACUGCAUGUGUGCACACAUGUGUGUGUUUAAUAGGAAUUCGUUGCCAGAAUUUAAAAAUUAGGAGUUUUUUUUUUUAAAGAUCUGGAUUUCUGGUUCUUCUUUAAAAAUGAAAUCAGAAGAAUUGGUAGCACCGGGCCCAUAUUCCCAAAAAGCACAAUGGUAACGCUGGCCCCAUAUUCCCAGAAAGCACAACUGGCUGAAAUUAAGUAGCAGCUGCUUCCUUUAGGUAGGCCUGGGCCCCAUUUCCUUAGUCCACAAGAUGGAUAAUGUCUCCUAGCCUCAGUUGUCAUCUUUCAUUGUGAUGUCACUGUUACUUUUCUUACAGCUGGUCUCCUCUCAUGCCUGUAACCUGCCUGGUCUCCGCAGGCAUUGGUAUAACCCGUGCCGUGUGCUAUUUUACAAUAUUCCCAGCACCUUCACAUCACCAUCUUCUUCUUGAACAAAUUCCAUGAGAUAAGUAGCACUGUUAUUACUUUCUCCAUUUUCCAGAGGAGAAGACCAAGGUUAAAACACGCAGUUCCCCUGUAAUAAGAGAAUAAUUUACUGAGAUAUGGAAAUCUGGGGAACAAUGAAAUGUGCAGCACUUCUGAUGCAGAUGAAAAGAUUCUUUCAGAGACAGUCGCCAGAAGCGUGUGGAAUCUAACUCUGCUGUUGCGAAGGGACACCUAUUUUAAGUGAUGUUACAUCAUUUUCAUUAAGCUUAUUGUGGAUGGACUUGAAUGGAUCCUUCAGUUGGUUGCCAUGGAAACCAUGAACUAGUGAAGGCAGUCUAAUAGCCCAGGUCACGUGAAUUUAAAAGAAAGAAACUUUUGAAAAUACCUCACUGAAGAAUUUCAGGCAUGAGAAGAAGGAUAAAUUAUUCAAGGUGCUUACGAAUUCCAUCUGAGAAGCACAUGCUAAUCAGAAAUCAUGUCUGAAGGCAGAGGCCAAGUGAGUGAACCCUCAUUCCUUCCUGUUUAGCUCGAAUGCCUGCGUGGAACUGAAACGAGGACCUCAGGCCUCAGGUCUUCCGAGGCUAAGUUAUUGCAAAGAGAUAAAGGAGCUUUUGUCUUCUUCUUAGCUAAACACGAUCUGGUUACAGGCUCCUCUCCCUGGUUUCCCUCCGCUAUAUGGAACAUUUGCUUAUGUAAAAAUAUAAUCAACAGAGAUUCACAAAGACUUUCUUGUCUACUGAGGUGGAACAGAGAUUGCAGGCUUCACCCCCAGACUCAACUUGGCUUACGUGUUCUUGCUCAGAUAAUUAACUCUCCAAUUAAACUCAGGUCUGGAAAACAAGGCCACAGAGUCCUCUGAAAUGUUGAAGCCAGAAACAAAUGGACAUGGUCAACAGUCAGGGAACACAGUGUCCAGGACAGUCAAAUAUAGAAGCUUUCAGGGCCAAAAAAUUCACCGAAUCUCCUGAGUGAUUUAUUUUACAAUCUAGACAAGUUUUAGGAUAAAGAUUUUAAAACUCAUUUAUUUUUAGCUAAACCUCCCUCCUUUCAGAAGGAAAGGACAUACUCCCUGGCCAGUGACCGUGAGAGGAAGUCAAACUCCCUAUAAGGUACCAAGAAUGGAUAACAGAAAACACAAAAGAUCUAGACAUCCACAAACGCGAGUUCUAAUCCAGUUCUCUUCCAGCAACUAGGCGCCAAAGAAGAGAUUAAGAAAAAUUCAUACAACAAACUGGGACCUGAGGCCACAAAGCAAAUGCUGCGCUCAUUUGAUGGACAUCUGGAGCACCAAAAUGAAACCCUGAGAUGGGAGACGAUGUAGAAUUCACUCAAGAUGUGGCUGUCACCCAAAGGCAAAACUGCUUUAGAAAAGAAGCCAAGCAAUUCCAGUUUAACACUGAAGUUUUCAUUAUUUCAAAAGCUCUGGAAUCUAAAUCCUGCCCCUCAAAACCUAAAUACAUGCAUUUUUACAGUGUAAUCAUACAAACCUAUUCAGCUGCCUUAAAUAUUUCUGACAAGGUGGGGAAACAGUCGACGGGCAACUGGGUGAACGAUCCUUGCUUUCCCUUGCCACGGGCGUAGGGGAAAGGCCAUUUUACAUUUUAAAAAUUAUUGGUUUGAUGAAAUCAAAGAAUGAAAUAUUUUGACUAGAUUUUCCUGGUUUGGGCUGCUAAAUAAUUGCCCCUCCCAAUCAUCCCCCCAAAAUCUAAGCUCUAAAUUCCACUCAAUUUUACUUGGUUUGGAAUUACCAUGUUUUGGAGAAAAAGUAACACUUUCACUCUGUACUUUUGCCAAAACUAAUAAUGAUAGUUGACAUGGAUUGAUCAAAAAUACGCAAGGCACUGCAUUGAGGGCUUUGAAUGUAUUUACACACAUCGUCUUCACAGCAAACCCAAUAAGGUGGAUACUAUUAUUAUUAUUCUCAUUUUACAGAUGUGGGAGCUGAGGUACAGGAUGCUUAAGUUACUUGCUCAAGAUCAGGCUGCUUUUAAGUCAAUUCAAUUUGACUCCGAAGUUGCCUUGCCCAAUGCAGCAGCUGGCAGUCACACAGGGCUGCUGAGCACUUGAAAUGUGACUAGCUUGAAUUGAGAUGUGU